GGGCUUGGCCAGCACUGAUGCAAAGGUGGUUUGGCCUUGAUUGUGGCACGCCACCUCUACUCCUGAGCCAGGCGUUCGC
rnacentral:miRNA from 1 species